rnacentral:rRNA from 1 species
GACGAACGCUGGCGGCGUGCUUAACACAUGCAAGUCGAGCGGUAAGGCCCUUUCGGGGGUACACGAGCGGCGAACGGGUGAGUAACACGUGAGGAACCUGCCCCAGAGACCGGGAUAACCCUCCGAAAGGAGAGCUAAUACCGGAUGUGCUCAUCGGAUCGCCUGGUCUGAUGAGGAAAUGGAUUCCGCUCUGGGAUGGCCUCGCGGCCUAUCAGCUUGUUGGGGGGUAACGGCUCACCAAGGCGACGACGGGUAGCUGGUCUGAGAGGACGAUCAGCCACACUGGGACUGAGACACGGCCCAGACUCCUACGGGAGGCAGCAGUGGGGAAUAUUGGACAAUGGGCGCAAGCCUGAUCCAGCAAUGCCGCGUGUGUGAAGAAGGCCUGCGGGUUGUAAAAGCACUUUCAGUAGGGAAGAAAGCCGAGUGCUAAUAUCAUUCGGUCUUGACGUUACUUACAGAAGAAGCACCGGCUAACUCCGUGCCA